rnacentral:tRNA from 1 species
GGGCCCGUAGCUCAGUCCGGUAGAGCACUACCCUUGCAAGGUAGGGGUCUCGAGUUCGAAUCUCGACGGGUCCA